rnacentral:pre_miRNA from 1 species
CACCUUCGCAGGCUGCAGGUCCGGGGCUGGGCGAGUAUCUCUUCAAAAUGUUCACCUCAAGCAAGACUAGGAGC